CGACCGGCGCACGGGUGCGUAACGCGUAUGCAACCUACCUUUAACAGGGGGAGUAACACUGAGAAAUUGGUACUAAUACCCCAUAAUAUCAUAGAAGGCAUCUUUUAUGGUUGAAAAUUCCGAUGGUUAGAGAUGGGCAUGCGUUGUAUUAGCUAGUUGGUGGGGUAACGGCUCACCAAGGCGACGAUACAUAGGGGGACUGAGAGGAAGGUCCCCCACAUUGGAACUGAGACACGGUCCAA
rnacentral:rRNA from 1 species